UACAGAGGGGGCAAGCGUUGUUCGGAAUUACUGGGCGUAAAGGGCGCGUAGGCGGCCUUCUAAGUCGAACGUGAAAUCCCCGGGCUCAACCCGGGAACUGCGUCCGAUACUGGAAGGCUUGAAUCCGGGAGAGGGAUGCGGAAUUCCAGGUGUAGGCGGUGAAAUGCGUAGAUAUCUGGAGGAACACCGGUGGCGAAGGCGGCUACGCUGGGACGGUACUGACGCUGAGGCGCGAAAGCGUGGGGAGCGAACAGG
rnacentral:rRNA from 1 species